rnacentral:misc_RNA from 1 species
AAUUCUCAACCCUUUCAGCUUUUACGAGCUGGAUUGGCUUGGAUGUGGGGGUUUGCGGGCUUCUCAGAAGUCGGCUCCUCUUAAAUGCAUUAGCGGAACCUUUGUGGACCAGCUUUGGUGUGAUAAUUAUCUACGCCAUGGCUGUGAAGCAGCUUUACAUGGGGUUCAGCUUCUAACCGUCCAUUGACUUGGACAACUUCUGACA